UCAUGUGUAAAGAUCCCAGCUGUCCUCCGCAACGCCAUCAUUCGUAUCCUGCUCAGCCCGGAUGUGACCAUCAGCUCCCACCGCUGCCACUACCGGUUCGAGUGCAGGAGCAAGGGGAACGAGCUGCUGAUGGUCGUGGGGCCUUCCAAUAUCUGUGCCUGAAAUGCCAACUGCUUGCCUCAGCUAGAGCACCCACUGUGGAAGCUGAAUGGUGGCAGCUGGCACAUACCAACAGUGAAUGGUGACCUGCUAUGGCUCGCUCACUUCAACACUGGGUCUGGAUGCUGCUCAUUUCUGAAAAGAAGAAAGAGUCCCAUACCAACUCCCUAUGUUCAGGCAAGUUUCAUAAAUCAUGCGGACAGUCUUGUUUCAGAUGAAUGGAUGGAUAGAGCUUUCAUCCCUUUCUUUGCAUGACCCUUAUGCUGCUAUUCAUAAACAGCACAAAGGGUGUUUUAACCUGGGAGCAAACCAGGUUCUCGUUUGUUUAGUUUGCUCUCCUUCUGAGUCAUCCCAUUUGGCACAUGCAAAAUCAGUCUAAGCAGCCUGCAGAAUCUCCUACCGGGGCUGUGCUCUCCGUAACAGAGCACCUCCGGCAUGACACAUCACCAAGCCAUAUGGAAGAGCAUUGCAUUGCAAGGCAGCAUACGUCAUCACACCUUCAGGUGACACUGUGGACAGAAGAGCCAGGCCUCAAGAGUGCUGCGUGGCCACGCAUUGCAACACAGCGGCGUUGCUUCCAAGAUGUAUGAGUUCAUGCCAGUCCUAGGUAUAAGGCUCUUAUCUUCAGGUUAAAUUACUAACCAGCUGAACGAUGCUGUGGCAGGCUCUCUGCCUUCAGUGGAGACUCCGUUCAGAGAAAUCCAAAGAGUGGAGAAAGCAUCAAACAAUGAAGUGAUGCUGCGGACAAACUGUGCGGAGCGUGCAAUCUUCCUGCAAUAUUCCGAGACAGAUNNNNNNNNNNNNNNNNNNNNNNNNNNNNNNNNNNNNNNNNNNNNCCUCUGGGACAUCAAGUGAGGCUAAGACAACAGUCCAGAGCUUUGCUAGCAAAUCAUGAGUCCCGAGUGUCUCUCCAGCUGGCAGGACCAUCACUGACCUAAAUGGCCUUGUCCUCCCUGACGCAGCUCUGCUAAUUUGGCCACAAUCCACUUAAUAAUGUAGCUAGAGUAUAAAGAUAUAUCCAGGCCCAACCACAAAACAGCUGGAGACUAUAGGGUUGACUUAAUCCUGGUAGAAUAAAACAGGGAAACUGGUGGGAGUCA
rnacentral:lncRNA from 1 species